rnacentral:rRNA from 1 species
GUUGGAAACGACUGCUAAUACCGCAUACGAUCUAAUCUCGGCAUCGAGGAUAGAUGAAAGGUGGCCUCUACAUGUAAGCUAUCACUGAAGGAGGGGGAUUGCGUCUGAUUAGCUAGUUGGAGGGGUAACGGCCCACCAAGGCGAUGAUCAGUAGCCGGUCUGAGAGGAUGAACGGCCACAUUGGGACUGAGACACGGCCCAGACUCCUACGGGAGGCAGCAUG